rnacentral:rRNA from 1 species
UACGUAGGGGGCAAGCGUUGUCCGGAGUUACUGGGCGUAAAGCGCCCGCAGGCGGUUGUUCAAGUCUCAGGUGACAGCCUUUCGCUUAACGAGGGGAGGGCCUGAGAGACUGAGCGACUGGAGGGCCAGAGAGGGACAUGGAACUCCGGGUGGAGCGGUGAAAUGCGUAGAGAUCCGGAAGAACACCAAAGGCGAAGGCAGUGUCCUGGCUGGUACCUGACGCUCGGGGGCGAAAGCGAGGGGAG